rnacentral:rRNA from 1 species
UACUCCUACGGGAGGCAGCAGUAGGGAAUCUUGCGCAAUGGGCGAAAGCCUGACGCAGCCAUGCCGCGUGAAUGACGAAGGUCUUAGGAUUGUAAAAUUCUUUCACCGGGGACGAUAAUGACGGUACCCGGAGAAGAAGCCCCGGCUAACUUCGUGCCAGCAGCCGCGGUAAUACGAAGGGGGCUAGCGUUGCUCGGAAUU